AGUAGUGAUGAGAGGGAUAGUUUGGGAAAUGAUGUUUGUUUGUAGGGAUAGAAUUGUAAAUUAAUGAUGGGUGUUUUAUGGGUGUAGACUGUAGUCGCUUUUAAUGCCCACAUAGUAUGAUAGAAUCGAAUUCUUUUUCUUUUGUCUUUUCUCCAUUUUCACCUUUCCUACAUAUUUUUGGGGGUUUUCUUCUUUAGUUUUUCAGUUUUUAGGGAUUCAGAGCAGUGCAUGGUUGUACCAUAUGUUCAAAUCUAUUUCCGAAAUGAAUUCAGUAGAGUUUCUAGGAACCCACACUUGUCUACUUUAUCAAUGUUCACUUCCCUAAUUCGCCAUUCCUUCGUGAUAAAGCUGAUUGAUUUUGUUAUGAUGUUUCGCUAGUAACAGAUGCGCUAGGGUUUACCCAUGGCUGGCAUGUUAGUUUUGCUCAGCAGAGUGGGCAGACGGUGCACGCACCCGGGGGCGUAAUACAGGACGCGUCAUAUUCACGUUGCAGGCAUGAGGCGGUUGCGUAAGAUGAAGUUCUUGGUAGGAUGAAGUAUGGGAUACGACCUUUAUAUGCAAGGCAUUGUACGUGAGCUUAUUGGGUAAACCUUCUUUUUGGAUUCUCCCUAGUAAGUGAUGGAGCAAUAUUUAUGGUUCCUGAAAUACUAGUUGGUUCAUAAAAUUUGGAGAAACAUGAUGACUGCAUUCUGAAGUUGGUUUACGGGCUCACAAUUGAUGGCACUGGGAGUAUCAUCCAGUAUACUUGACACCCUUUGGUGUUCAAUCAUCGCUGACUUGCCUUACUUUAGUAUCAUGGGCAACUUACCUCUUUGCUGCCAUGAUAAUGUGCUUAAGCUUCUUUUCGGCUCGCUUUCAGCACCCAGCUCCUGAAUGUACUUGUUGGAAGAAUGUUAAUAUUUCGUAAGAAGUACAUUUUCUUGUUUGGAUCAAAAUAGAGGUCGAUGAGAACUUAAAGACAUGCCUGACUGAGCAUAUACGAAGCAUGUCUCCAGUGAAAUGCAGAGUAACCGAGGCUACGUCUCUCCAGCCCUUCCACCAGCUUGAUGAAUAGGGAAUUACAAGCUGGUUCAUUCGCAAAAUAAGCGUACAUGUUGUCUUCAGACCCUCAGCUUGUCCAAUGUAAUCAGAAGCCAACUUGCAGAGAUUUGGGCAUUCUCUUCUAUCACCAAACCCCAAAUGUCUGGCUGCUCGUGUACAUGCAGAAACACAGGACACACUGUUAAGGAUCUAAAUGAUGUCCAUGUCUAGACAUCCAUGUAAGGUGUGUAAGAUGCAAUUUUCUUCUAGUUGGUUUUUGUUGACCGUAUACAAAGGAUUCAAUUACGUAUACAAUUACCUACAUAGUGAGAGAACCUUUCAAUGCUCAAGACUUGGUCAGUCGCAACUUUUAUAUCGGUAAUGAUCCAUUGAUCUCGAAUUUUCUUGAGGAGAUAAUGCGUUGCCGCUGCCAUGACUAAUAACGCUACAAGGAUCUGCGUAUAUGUGAGUUUGGUGUUGGCAUUGAUAUAAUCUGGUGAAAGAAGAUAAUAGAGUCAUAGAUUAUUCAUGUAAAUGAUUAUGUCAUGCUUUUUCACAGGAAAAAUGUUGUUUAGUGCAACAUUGAUGAAGUGGAGAAUUUACCUCUCUGCAUGUCUCAGUUAUGGGAGGAGGAGAAAGAGAACUUUCCUGUUACAUUGGAGAAUUGGAUGUACUCCCUUUCUUGCGAAUUUUGUUUAUUUGUCAACUUUAUGGCAUGGAUUUAAAUCGGAUUAUGGCCUGCGCAACUGAUUUUAACCCUGACUGUGGAUAUCAACAUGUCCUCUGAUAUUUUAUGCAAUUGCAGAAAUGCAUAAUCUAAAACGGGUCUUCGCCAAUUCGGAAUGAGACAAAAUAUUUCAGAAUUGCCAGAUACUCGGAAUAUGAGCUUGCAUCAGAUCUUCUAUAAAUUGCUUACUAGCCUAGAUUGGAAACCUACACUUCAUGCAGUAUGUCAUUAGUUGGCACAGACGAUAUAAUACGGUUGUGCAAACAUCACCUAUUUUCAUACGGAAGAGAUACCGAAUGUGGAUAUGGGAAUAGUACAACAAUAUAACACGUCAUUUCUGUUGUCGUCUACUAACAGGCGUGUGGGAAACGGGUAUCAAUCUGGAUAUGCACCUACAUUGUAAAUUGUGGUAUGUUAUCUAAUAAAAUAUACUUUAUUUCAAACACGUUUUCUUUCACAUUAAAACUUAUUAUUUUCUACAUUCUUAAGUCUGAAUAGCUUUAAUCCCUCCAAUUAAGUUGUCAACCUAGACCAUAGGAUACGGAAGGGUACAUUGUACUGAUUUGAGAAAACAUUUCAAAAUUUUGUUGAGUUCAUCAAUCAGAUUCAACAAAAUGCAACGACAUCUGAGAAUGCCCCUGGCAUGCCCCACAAGCAAAGAAGAAGUUGUAAUCGAAUGUCUAUUGAUUUAGUUGAACGUGAUACUGUUGAGGUGGAUAUAAUUGGUCCUUCUACAGCGUAUACACCUCAAGAUUCCUACGUGCCUCAACCGCCACAAGAUAAUUGGUUUGAAUCAGCUCUAUAUAUGUCAAGACAUUGCAGAAGCUUAUUUUUACACGAUCCUGACCUUGAUCUUGGCAUUAAUCAAUCAUAUGCACUUGGAUAUAACAUUUCAUCAAUUCUAAUUCCAUAAUUUAAUGUGUAUCGGGAUUAUAUAGAGUCUAGUUCUGCAACAUCAUUAAGUUGGUUACACAUUAAUGCCGGUGAUGAUGAUAAUGAUGGACAAAAUGAGUCAACACAAGAUGUGGGUGAUGAAAUAAGAAGAUGCCGGCGCCA